UAAAAGUCCCAGACAGCAGCCAUGGGCCAUCCCGUGUAAACACGGUCUGUUUCAUGGAUAUUGGACGGGCUAACCUGUAUGAACAAGAAGAGCGACAGAUCCGAUUGUGAAUACAGGCAGCGAUGUCGAGAGUGCACAGCACGAAGACAUCGACUUUCA
rnacentral:sRNA from 1 species